GGUUCCAUAGUGUAGUGGUUAGCAUGUCUGCUUUACAUGCAGAAGGUCCUGGGUUCAUGCCCCAGUGGAGCCA
rfam:Pteropus alecto contig72498, whole genome shotgun sequence.